AAUGUUUACUUUGUUCAUACUAGUGGUGGUUCAAGUGACAAAGGUCAGCAAUUCCCCCACCCUGGCGUCAGAGCUCAGCAAUGUGGCCUGACAAGUUUCCAGGUGACAGUAUCAGAUAUAAAACCUGGAAAAAAGGGAGAAGAGGAGAGUGCUAUUCUGCAGCAGGCCCUGUGGGACAGAGAUGAAGCCAUAGAGAAGAAGAAAGCGAUGGAGGCCGAGCUGCUUCGGAGUAAGACGGAGCUGAUGGCACUGAACAACCAGCUGCUGGAGGCUGUGCAGAAACGUCUGGAGCUGUCGCUGGAGGUCGAGGCCUGGAAGGAGGACGUUCAGCGGAUCCUCCAGCAGCAGCUACAGAAUCAGCAGCAGGCAGAACAGGCUCAGAAGAAGACUUCUCGUCUGGGCAUCCUCAGGAGAAACAACAAACCGCCCAUCCAGCGGCCGUCCAACUUCCCUCUGUCCACGCCAAGCCCUCCCACUACCAACACGAAGCAAAUCUUCCUCUCCAAAUCUGCUGCUUCGGGUCCCAGCACGCCUCCUUCCAGCCUCAGGUGGAAGCCGAGGAGGGGCAAGAGCAGCCGUCAAGUAGACCAGGAUUCAGAGUUCGGUCGGGAAGAUGACGGCUUCCGGAACGUAUCACUUGAUUAAAACAGUGCUGACACUGAGUGCACUCUUACAUCUACUUAAAGUCGUUCUUCAGUCCUUACUGUCCCUUACUGAAUCAUGUUUAACACUCAAAGGUUGUUUUUACAUUUAUCUGCUGAAGGGUGAAGCUUCACUUAAAAUCUGAGCUUAACGUGCACGUGAGCAGCAUUUUGUGACGACACAACUAGUUUGGACAAGAGCCAUGCACUAAUAUGUAGCCGGCGAUGUGGAAAUGCUCCAGUACACAAACAUAGAGGAGGAACUUUUCAUCGGAUUAGGAGAAUUCUAGUGUCCGGCAGUUACACUUGUACAAUAAACUAUAUUUGCAUAUUCAUAGAUUCUGGAUGUCUCAGUGAGGAAGGAGGCAAAGAUGCCAUUUUAAUGAAGUAACUGAACUUCUUUUGUUGAAAAAAAACAUAUCAUGCACAAAUUAUUAUUAUAACAGAGUAUUUUUUAUGUUUUAUAUUUUCUUGGGAAACAUGCUUUAGAUGUAUGUACGAAAUAUAACGGAUUGUGAAUGUGCCAAGUAAAUAUUGAAAACUAACACUUAAAUGCCUUACACUUACUGACCUAAUAUUUGUUACUUCUUGUAAAUAAAUGAAAUUAUUAUACAAACUCUUUUAAAUCUCUAAGUCAGACUGUCAUUGAUUUUCUGACAUUCACAUCACCAUAAAAGACAGAAAAAUAAAUUUUGUUGCAUUGAC
ensembl:lncRNA